GGGGAAUAUUGGACAAUGGGCGCAAGCCUGAUCCAGCAAUGCCGCGUGGGUGAAGAAGGUUUUCGGAUUGUAAAGCCCUUUUGGCAGGGACGAUGAUGACGGUACCUGCAGAAUAAGCCCCGGCUAACUUCGUGCCAGCAGCCGCGGUAAUACGAAGGGGGCUAGCGUUGCUCGGAAUGACUGGGCGUAAAGGGCGCGUAGGCGGCCUGUACAGUCAGAUGUGAAAUUCCUGGGCUCAACCUGGGGACUGCAUUUGAUACGUGCGGGCUUGAGUGGAGAAGAGGGUCGUGGAAUUUCCAGUGUAGAGGUGAAAUUCGUAGAUAUUCGGAAGAACACCAGUGGCGAAGGCGACACACUGGCUCACUACUGACGCUGAGGCGCGAAAGCGUGGGGAGCAAACA
rnacentral:rRNA from 1 species